UGGAAAUCCCCUAAUGGGACAAGACUAAGUUUAAAUCUUUCAAGAGUUACCUACCAGCUCCUCAAUCGGACGAAGAGUUUAUUUGUUUUACCACAAUAGCCUCCUUUGCUUUUGUUCGAUUUUUACUCAUAAAUAAGCGGCUUGGAUCCAUCAACAGAACCAGCACAAGUCACUUAAAGUAGAUUUUUGCAAGAAUUAUCGAACGGAAAACCAGGAGCUGUACAAGAAGGUGAUCAUGAAGAAAUAUUCGGCAAUUUUCCUUCUCGUAGCCUUAGUCUGCCUCGUAACUAACAUACCGGCAGCUCAGGGAUUUUCUUACAGCAGACAAGCGUGGAAAAGAGUCUUAGAGGCGAUGCAUGACACUCGAAGUAUUUGUCAAGAAUUACAAAAGCGCUGUUAUUCUGAGACCGUAAGAGACCAAAGAAAGCAGGCGAACCCUUGAAGAAGAACUCUGAUGUUUAGCAGCCGGUCGGCCACCCACAUCGUUAAGUGGUGAACUGAAGCGCACGGAAAUUGAUAAAUAUUUGUUCUUGAGUCGUAUAUGUGAUGUAAAUUUUAGGAUUUAGCGGUAGUAUUUCAUGUUAUCUUGGAAGAUUGGUUAGUUGUCUGACUGUCUGUUUUAAACCUGAAAUGGAUGCCUGCUGUUCAAAGCUCUCCAACAUGUUUCUGAAUUUCCCUUUGCUUUGUGUUAGCACGUGCUUAUUGCAAAAUUUAGAUGACCACGUAAAACUACACAUAUUUGACGUGA